UCGACGGUUUUUUUCAGAACCACAAAAAUUUCCUAAAAAAAUUAA
rfam:Tribolium castaneum strain Georgia GA2 linkage group LG2, whole genome shotgun sequence.